ACGAACGCUAGCGGCGUGCCUAAUGUAUGCAAGUCGAGCGGAGUGAGAGACUUCGGUCUCUCAUUCAGCGGCAAACGGUUGAGUAACACGUAGGCAACCUGCCCCAGAGACGGGGAUAGCCCGCCGAAAGGCGGAUUAAUACCGGAUGUGGCAGCGGGGGACAUCCCCCGCUUGCUAAAGGUGGUAACACGCUCUGGGAUGGGCCUGCGGCCUAUCAGCUAGUUGGUGGGGUAACGGCCUACCAAGGCGACGACGGGUAGCUGGUCUGAGAGGAUGGUCAGCCAGACAGGGACUGAGACACGGCCCUGACUCCUUUGGGGGGCAGCAAUGAGGGAUAUUGCACAAUGGGCGAAAGCCUGAUGCAGCGACGCCGCGUGGGUGACGAAGUUCUUCGGAAUGUAAAGCCCUUUUCUCGGGGAAGAGAACGGACGGUACCCGAGGAAUAAGCCCCGGCUAACUACGU
rnacentral:rRNA from 1 species